AUCUUGUAGAAGAAACCCUUUCCUAUAUUUUGGCAGAUAACCCUCUGAAAACAUACUUGGCCCAUUUUGACUUUGAUAUAGACAAGGCCAUAGAAGCCGUCAACUCCUUGCCCGACAAUCAGUCUUCCACAAAUUUUCUUCCUUGGAGAACGCGGCAUGAACCCGGUAUGAUUUGAUAAGGAUGCACUGCGUCUGGCUGAAGACGUUAAACUUAGCGCUUGUUGGGAGGCAACCCAAUUCUCGUAGGUUAUUUCCGCAUAUUUUUUUGUCGAAUUUUUUUUUAUUUUCUUAACAGGAUCCCUCAUAUUACUGAUGCAACUACGGUAAAAUGCUUCUAUCCUCCAUAUGCAUCAUAUUUUUGUCCAAAAUAAAAAAUAUAUAAAACAAUAAAAAUAAUAAUAUAAUAUUCAAAAAAAAACAUUGAGGACAAUGUCUAAUCUAGGUUGGGGGGUA
rnacentral:lncRNA from 1 species